rnacentral:rRNA from 1 species
GAUGAACGCUGGCGGCGUGCCUAAUACAUGCAAGUCGAGCGAACGGACGAGAAGCUUGCUUCUCUGAUGUUAGCGGCGGACGGGUGAGUAACACGUGGAUAACCUACCUAUAAGACUGGGAUAACUUCGGGAAACCGGAGCUAAUACCGGAUAAUAUUUUGAACCGCAUGGUUCAAAAGUGAAAGACGGUCUUGCUGUCACUUAUAGAUGGAUCCGCGCUGCAUUAGCUAGUUGGUAAGGUAACGGCUUACCAAGGCAACGAUGCAUAGCCGACCUGAGAGGGGGAUCGGCCACACUGGAACUUGGCCACGGUCCAGACUCCUACGGGAGGCAGCAGUAGGGAAUCUUCCGCAAUGGGCGAAAGCCUGACGGAGCAACGCCGCGUGAGUGAUGAAGGUCUUCGGAUCGUAAAACUCUGUUAUUAGGGAAGAACAUAUGUGUAAGUAACUGUGCACAUCUUGACGGUACCUAAUCAGAAAGCCACGGCUAACUACGUG